UUCUGACCGUAAACGAUGCCAACUAGCGAUCCGCCGGUGGCUACAAGGCCCUGGUGGGGAGCUUCCCGGAAACGAAAGUCUUCCGGUUCCGGGGGAAGUAUGGUUGCAAAGCUGAAACUUAAAGGAAUUGACGGAAGGGCACCACCAGGAGUGGAGCCUGCGGCUUAAUUUGACUCAACACGGGAAAACUCACCCGGCCCGGACACCGUGAGGAUUGACAGAUUGAUAGCUUUUUCAUGAUUCGGUGGUUGGUGGUGCAUGGCCGUUCUUAGUUCGUGGAUCGAUUUGUCUGGUUUAUUCCGAUAACGAGCGAGACUCCAGCCUACUAACUAGUGCGGGCAUUGCCUCUGUGCUCGUCACUUCUUAGAGGGAUUGGCUGCGUCUAGCGGCACGAAACGGAGCAAUAACAGGUCUGUGAUGCCCUUAGAUGUCCGGGGCUGCACGCGCGCUACACUGGCAAAGGCAGCGUGCUUGUCCGCCUCCGAAAGGAGCCGGUAAACCCUUGAAAAUUUGCCGUGAUUGGGAUCGGAAAUUGCAAUUAUUUUCCGUGAACGAGGAAUUCCUAGUAAGUGCGAGUCAUCAGCUCGCGUUGAUUACGUCCCUGCCCUUUGUACACACCGCCCGUCGCUGCCUAGAACUGAGCCAUUUCGAGAAUAUUCGGGAUCGCUGGUUGCGAGUCCUUCGGGGCACGCCUCUGGCAAGAGAACGAACGUAAUCGCAGUGGCUUGAACCGGGCAAAAGU
rnacentral:rRNA from 1 species